rnacentral:lncRNA from 10 species
GCAGCACAGGGGGAGGGGACAUUUACAAAAUGAUUUACUGUGACACAUCCAUUAUAAUGAAAGCAUGUGCCGCUUGCCAGCACUCCUGGCCCAUCUUCUCCCUCCCAGAUGCUCGGCCAUAUGUCCCAUGCUUGGCGUGAGCGACAGUUGUGUUGAUAGAGAAGGAGUCCUGGGAUCUCGGUGUUUUUAACAGAAAUCCCAGAAAGCUCUGAGGUUGCUGGCUCAGCAACAGCCCAUUCCUCAGUUACCAGGACCUUGCAUCCAAAUUCGAGCGGCACGCAUUACUGCUUCGUGAAAGCAGCUGCUACUUUGACCAUGUGGAUCUCCUGGCUCCCUAACUAUUGCAACCCUAGCUUAAUUGCCUCUGCUCCUGGAAUAAAAUCAGCACUUAUUGAACACCUGCAUAUGGAAGACAUCAUGCUAGGCCCUGUGAAAGAAAGAAAGAAAUUUGGUAUACAGUUGGUUUUGCCUUGAAAAGUUUACCAUCUAGUUGUGAAUUAGUACUCCCAUCUAUGUCCUGGCAAACCUUGGACAAAUUUCUUAACCUCUUUGCACCUUGAUUUCUCCAUCUGUAAAAGAGAGGAUAAUAGUAUAUAGGAUUGAUGUAAAUCAAUUAAUAUGUAUAAAAUGCUUAAACUAGUACAUGACACAUAAUAAUCACUCAGUAAAUGUUAGCUAAAUUUGGCCCCUAGUUGGAGGAAAGAAAGAGGGAAAAAAGAGGAA